GACGAACGCUGGCGGCGUGCCUAAUACAUGCAAGUUGAGCGAUGAAGAUUGGUGCUUGCACCAAUUUGAAGAGCAGCGAACGGGUGAGUAACGCGUGGGGAAUCUGCCUUUGAGCGGGGGACAACAUUUGGAAACGAAUGCUAAUACCGCAUAAUAACUUUAAACAUAAGUUUUAAGUUUGAAAGAUGCAAUUGCAUCACUCAAAGAUGAUCCCGCGUUGUAUUAGCUAGUUGGUGAGGUAAAGGCUCACCAAGGCGAUGAUACAUAGCCGACCUGAGAGGGUGAUCGGCCACAUUGGGACUGAGACACGGCCCAAACUCCUACGGGAGGCAGCAGUAGGGAAUCUUCGGCAAUGGACGAAAGUCUGACCGAGCAACGCCGCGUGAGUGAAGAAGGUUUUCGGAUCGUAAAACUCUGUUGGUAGAGAAGAACGUUGGUGAGAGUGGAAAGCUCAUCAAGUGACGGUGACUACCCAGAAAGGGACGGCUAACUACGUG
rnacentral:rRNA from 1 species